AUUGAACGCUGGCGGCAGGCCUAACACAUGCAAGUCGAACGAGUGGCAGACGGGUGAGUAAUGUCUGGGACACUCCCCGAGGGAGGGGGAUAACUACUGGAAACGGUCGCUAAUCCCGCAUACCAUCAGAUGUGCCCAGAUGGGAUUAGCUAGUGGGGGGGGUAACGGCUCACCUAGGCGACUAUCCCUAGCUGGUCUGAGAGGAUGACCAGCCACACUGGAACUGAGACACGGUCCAGACUCCUACGGGAGGCAGCAGUGGGGAAUAUUGCACAAUGGGCGCAAGCCUGAUGCAGCCAUGCCGCGUGUAUGAAGAAGGCCUUCGGGUUGUAAAGUACUUUCAGCGAGGAGGCGUUACUCGCAGAAGAAGCACCGGCUAACUCCGUGCCAGCAGCCGCGGUAAUUC
rnacentral:rRNA from 1 species